rnacentral:rRNA from 1 species
UAACGCGUGGGUAACCUGCCUCACACAGGGGGAUAACAGUUGGAAACGGCUGCUAAUACCGCAUAAGCGCACAGUACCGCAUGGUACAGUGUGAAAAACUCCGGUGGUGUGAGAUGGAUCCGCGUCUGAUUAGCUAGUUGGCAGGGCAACGGCCUACCAAGGCGACGAUCAGUAGCCGACCUGAGAGGGUGACCGGCCACAUUGGGACUGAGACACGGCCCAA